UACAGAGGUCCCAAGCGUUGUUCGGAUUCACUGGGCGUAAAGGGUGUGUAGGCGGUUUUCUAAGUUUGGUGUGAAAUCUCCCGGCUUAACUGGGAGGGUGCGCCGAAAACUGGAAGGCUUGAGUAUGGGAGAGGUAAGCGGAAUUCCUGGUGUAGCGGUGAAAUGCGUAGAUAUCAGGAGGAACACCUGCGGUGUAGACGGCUUACUGGACCAUAACUGACGCUGAGGCACGAAAGCGUGGGUAGCAAACAGG
rnacentral:rRNA from 1 species